rnacentral:rRNA from 1 species
GACGUAGGGGGCAAGCGUUGUUCGGAAUUAUUGGGCGUAAAGCGCUCGUAGGCGGGACUGGAAGUCCGUGUUGAAAGACCUCGGCUCAACUGAGGGACCGGCUCGGAUACUCUAGUUCUUGAGGCAAUCAGAGGGUGAUGGAAUUCCCGGUGUAGCGGUGAAAUGCGUAGAUAUCGGGAGGAGCACCAGUGGCGAAGGCGAUCACCUGGGGUUGUUCUGACGCUGAGGAGCGAAAGCUAGGGGAGCAAACGGG